rnacentral:rRNA from 1 species
AUUGAACGCUGGCGGCAGGCCUAACACAUGCAAGUCGAACGGAGUGGCGGACGGGUGAGUAAUGUCUGGGAAUCUGCCUGGUAGUGGGGGAUAACGUCCGGAAACGGGCGCUAAUACCGCAUACUAUCAGAUGAGCCUAGGUCGGAUGAGAUAGUUGGUGGGGGAAAGGCCUACCAAGGCGACGAUCCGUAACUGGUCUGCGAGGAUGAUCAGUAAGACUGGAAAGUAGAGACGGUCCAGAGUCCUACGUGAUGCAGCAGUGGGGAUGAUUGGACAAUGGGCGAAAGCCUGAGCCAGCCAUGCUGCGUGUGUGAAGAAGGUUUUCGGAUUGUAAAGCACUUUAAGUUGGGAGGCGUUACUAACAGAAUAAUCACCUGCUAACGUCGUGCCAGCAGCCUCGGUAAUUC